GACGAACGCUGGCGGCGUGCUUAACACAUGCAAGUCGAGCGGUAAGGCCCUUUCGGGGUACACGAGCGGCGAACGGGUGAGUAACACGUGGGUGACCUGCCCUCAGCUCUGGGAUAAGCCCGGGAAACUGGGUCUAAUACCGGAUAUGACUUCAUGACGCAUGUUGUGGAGUGGAAAGCCUUGUGCGGCUGAGGAUGGGCCCGCGGCCUAUCAGCUUGUUGGU
rnacentral:rRNA from 1 species